rnacentral:sRNA from 1 species
CGGAUCACACCGCGAACUUCUAAACCUUUGACGAUUGACUCAUGUUGCCUCGGCGGGUUCUCCCGCCAGAGGAUACAUCAAAACUCCUGUUUUAACGGUGUUGUCUGAGCUACAAGCAACGAAUCAAAACUUUCAACAACGGAUCUCUUGGUUCUGGCAUCGAUGAAGAACGCAGCGAAAUGCGAUAAGUAGUGUGAAUUGCAGAAUUCAGUGAAUCAUCGAAUCUUUGAACGCACAUUGCGCCCCUUGGUAUCCCGAGGGGCAUGCUUGUUCGAGCGUCAUUUCACCACUCAAGCCUGGCUUGGUGUUGGGCGACGUCCCCUUCAGGGACGCGCCUCGAAACGCUCGGCGGCGUGGCACCGGCUUUAAGCGUAGCAGAAUCUUUCGCUUCAAAAGUCGGGGCCCCGUCUGCCGGAAGACCUACUCGCAAGGUUGACCUCGGAUCAGGCAGGGAUACCCGCUGAACUUAAGCAUAUCAAUAAGCGGAGGAAAAGAAACCAACAGGGAUUGCCUCAGUAACGGCGAGUGAAGCGGCAACAGCUCAAAUUUGAAAUCUGGCUCUUUCAGGGUCCGAGUUGUAAUUUGU